rnacentral:tRNA from 1 species
GCCCGGGUGGCGGAAUUGGCAGACGCGCCAGGUUGAGGGCCUGGUGAGGUUUAUACCUCAUGCUGGUUCAAAUCCAGUCCCGGGCA